rnacentral:rRNA from 1 species
UACGGAAGGCAGCAGUGGGGAAUAUUGCACAAUGGGCGCAAGCCUGAUGCAGCCAUGCCGCGUGUAUGAAGAAGGCCUUCGGGCUGUAAAGUACUUUCAGUCGUGAGGAAGGUGUUAAGGUUAAUAACCUUAGCAAUUGACGUUAGCGACAGAAGAAGCACCGGCUAACUCCGUGCCAGCAGCCGCGGUAAUACGGAGGGUGCGAGCGUUAAUCGGAAUUACUGGGCGUAAAGGGCACGCAGGCGGUUAAUUAAGUUGGAUGUGAAAUCCCCGGGCUUAACCUGGGAAUGGCAUUCAAGACUGGUUAGCUAGAGUCUUGUAGAGGGGGUAGAAUUCCAUGUGUAGCGGUGAAAUGCGUAGAGAUGUGGAGGAAUACCGGUGGCGAAGGCGGCCCCUGGGACAAAGACUGACGCUCAUGUGCGAAAGCGUGGGGAGCAAACAGGAUUAGGAUACC